AGACCCCCUUCGGGACAGGGCAAAGAAACCAUGGGGGAUGUUGUCACAGAUGCAACUGUAAAAGCUUUGCAAGAGUUUGAUUCUGGUGAGAUGGAAACAGGUAAAGAUGCUGCUCCCUCCUCCUCCAGACCUCCAUCCGGGAAACCCUCGUCUAGGCCCACUUCGGCAAAACCAGGUUCUAAAGCUGGGUCUAGACCCACUUCAGCCAAACCAAGCUCUCGUCCAACUUCAGCAAGGUCUCCGAAACCAGAGACCGGCAGUAAACCUCCAUCCCAGGCCGGGAGUCGACCUCCAUCAGCGGGGUCAAAGAAAGGGUCAAGGCCAACUAGUGCUGCAAGCAAAAAGGACUCCAGACCACCAAGUGCUAGUAAAGAUGAAAGGCCUCCUUCUGCAGCCAAAGAUGAUGCAGGGGAAGAUAUGGGUCCUGGUGAUGAAGGUGCACAAGAAUAUGAUUUUGGAGAGAUGCCACCAAUGGACAGUAAUGACUUUGGAGGUGAUGGUGGUGGAGAUGAACCACCACAGGAACCACAAGAACCAAGUCAGCCACCACCACAGGACCUAGUGCCACACCCUGGUCCUGAUGGUGGGGAUGGAGGUGGAGACAGCGGGGACGAUGAUGAGGAGAUGGAUGAUGAGGAGGGGGUCGAGUCAGAUGCGGGCAGUGAAGCAGAGACCGACAUGGUUGUCCUCGACCCAGAUCAUCCUCUCAUGAAAAGAUUCCAAAAUGCCUUGAAAUCUCAUUUGACCUCUCAAAAUGAGAAAGUAACUCUCGAGCUUAGAGAGCUAACAGAGGCAUUGAGGAAUCGCAAGAAGGAGCGUGAAGAUCUAGGUGUAGAUUUGUAUGGAAUUCAACAAGAACUAGCCAGGUUCCAGAUGUUAUUGGAGAAAAACCAUGACGAGUUCGCUAACCUUAACCAAGGCCGCCAACAAGAGGAAGCUCAGUUGGAUGACGUUCGUAACACAUACAAGGAAACUCAAGUCAUUGUCAACAAAGAGAAAAAGAAGUGUGCUGAACUCCAGGGAGAAGUCGAGAACUUGGCCCUGCGUCUUUUCUACAUGCAGAACGCCAAAGAGGAUGUCAGGUCAGAUAUUGCCAUUAUGAGGAGAGCAGCUGAAAAGGCUGACACAGAGGUAUCCAAGGCAGAAGUAGAGAAACAAAGACAGGACUUGUUUGUGGACCGACUGGUGGAAACAGUUGACAAACUGAAAGAAGAAAUAGCCAUGUUUGAAGCACAAAUUGCAGCACAGACUGAGGAAACGAAAGCAGCCAAAGAGGCCUUGAUGGAGGCACAUAUGGAAAUAGAGGCUAUACACUUAGAAAAGAAGCAGUUGUUCCAACAGUGGAAUAGCUCUUUGAUUGGGAUGAGGAGGAGAGACGAGGCUCACUCUGCCAUGCAAGAAGCAUUAAAUACACAGGAGCAAAAGGUGCUAUCGUUAGAAACAGAAUUGGAAGGCUUCAAGAAAUCCAUAUGGCAAGAGCAGGAACAGAAUGAGAAACUAACUCUUAUUCUUAAUAAGACUGAGAGAGACAUAGAAACAGUUAAGAAGCAGCUGAGCCAGUGCCAGGCCAAGCAUGACGCUCUAAAGGCUGAGUAUGCCACUUACACCAGGAUGUUACACGAGACCGAGCAGGCACUCAACCGCGCUGUCACUGAUAAAACUCUGAGACUGAAUGAGCUGAAUGCCUUGAGGAAACAGAUAGAGAGAGAAUACUUGGAGAAAGUGGAAUUGGAGGAUGAAAUCAUGGAGAAAAUGCGAACUCAGCUUACGAUGGACAAGGCGUCUCAGUACACAAAAAAACUGACGACAAAACAGCGUGACUUGACCAAGAGUCUGGAAACACAAACGGCUGAGGUAGAAAACACCAUCUCUAGAGACUCUCUAGAAAUUUCCAAUGUUCAAACUCGCAUUGAGCGGCUAGGGAAGAUCAUGGACCAACUGGAUGAAGAGAUAGCUCAGAAGAACGAGAUCAUCAGUCGCAGUGAGCAGGAGAUAGUCAAGAGGAAUGCCAUCAUUGAGAGGAAACAGAACAUCAUUGACCAGUACAAUAAAAGGCUGGAGACCCUCAUCAGCAAAGCUGGGGGUGUUGAACUUGGUCCUUUGGAGAUCACCAUCAACUCGCUACAGAAAUCUAUUGAAGCUCGCCAACAGGAGAUCGCUGAGCUACAGCAGAUGUGGCUCCGACAGCAGAGCGAGCUUGUACAGCUCACUAAGGACAAAGACAUGCAGUCUGUGGAUGUCCGCAAGCUCAAGAAACAACUCACCAUCUUGUCCCAGAAAAAGAUCAGAACUGAAGGUGACAUUGAUGAGCAGAGACGGGAGACUUAUGACAUUGAGAGAAGCAUUAGCAACAUGCAGAACGAUAUGAUCAAACUGAACACCUUACUGAACAAGGAGAAGGGCACCCAUGAUAACCUCCACCAGGACAACAUUCUGCUGGAGAACGAUUUCAUCAUGGCUCUGAAGGAGGCAGAAAUGGAGUCUAUACAAUUGCAAGAAAAUCUAGAUGGAAUCAAAGAAGAGAAGGAAAGACUUCUAAACAGUUUAGUGGAGGCUGAGCGCCAGAUCAUGUUAUGGGAGAAGAAAACUCAGCUUGCCCGCGAAACAAGGGCCGCUGUUGACUCGGAAGUUGGUCAGGGUGAGAUCAAGGCCAUGAACGCCGAGAUUCACAGGAUGCAGGUCAGAUACACUCAGCUGAUGAAGCAGCAGGAGAAAAUGAUACAAGAAAUGGAGAAAGCAGUGUCAAGGAGAGACACCAUUGUCACAAGAGGAGAUGCCCAGCAGAAGAUUAAUAAGAAAGUGCUUACAAAGGGAACAUUUGAAAGACAAAUGGGAGAAUUGAGGAAGAAAAUCAAAGUUACAAUUCAGGAGGCCAAUGGAUGUGAUGAUGAGAUUCAGGAUCUGCGUGGCCACCAGGUGGAGCUCAGUCAGCAACUGGAGGACAAACAGGUCAAUGUCCAGCACCUCCAGGGCAAUUCCGACACACUGGACGGUGACAUCGAGAGGCUGUUUGAAAACAAGCAGAAGAACAUGUCAGAAUUAUUGGGCAAACAGCAGAAAGCUAAAUACUUUCAACAGGCCAAGGAUGGAAAAUACACGAUGUUGUGCAAGUCAGAAUCGUCGCUGGAGAACGAGAGCACAAAGCAGGUGGACAGAAUGCAGGCCCUGAGUGCCAUCGUAGACCGCCUCAACCAGGAAUUCCCCCACGUACAACCGGCUCUGCGCCGGGUUAACCUGGCUCUGUCAACCAGAACCGAGCAGGCACAGGACUAAAAGACUAAUUUUGAAAGUCUAAAUUAUUUCUUACAAGUUACAUGUGUAAAUUUGUACAAUUCUAUAUAGAAGGAGAAAAGUCCGUCCACUUUACACUUGAUUUUUAUGUAGAGUCCAUUCCACGCUUAACAGUAUCUGUGAUAUUGUAUCUCAAGAAGAUAUACUUGUAUUUAAAAACAAAGGCAUAAAUUGUUUUUGAAAAAUGUUGUCAAUUAUAAUUUUGUUUUAUUGGUUUGUAAUAAAAUUAUUAUUUAUGAU
rnacentral:misc_RNA from 1 species